UGCANGUCGAGCGGCAUCGAGUGAGCGCAGUUUACUGAGUUCAUGUCGGCGAGCGGCGGACGGGUGAGUAAAGUCUGGGAAUCUGGCCGAAGGAGGGGGAUAACUGCUGGAAACGGCAGCUAAUACCGCAUGAAGUCGCGAGACCAAAGUGGGGGACCUUCGGGCCUCACGCCUUCGGAUGAGCCCAGAUGAGAUUAGCUGGUAGGUAAGGUAAAGGCUUACCUAGGCGACGAUCUCUAGCGGGUCUGAGAGGAUAGCCCGCCACACUGGAACUGAGACACGGUCCAGACUCCUACGGGAGGCAGCAGUGGGGAAUAUUGCACAAUGGGCGAAAGCCUGAUGCAGCCAUGCCACGUGUGUGAAGAAGGCCUUCGGGUUGUAAAGCACUUUCAGCGAGGAGGAAGCGAUAAAUGCCANUACCAUUUA
rnacentral:rRNA from 1 species